AUACUUACCUGGCAUGGGAGGUACCAUGCUCAUGGAGGUGGCUGUCCCAGGGUGACCCAGCCAUUGCACUCCAAUGUGCUGACCCCUGCCACUUCCCCAGUGGGAAACUUGCCUGCGUACGCUGUGGUAGUGGGGGACUGCGUUCGCACUCACCCCAG
rnacentral:snRNA from 1 species